AGAGUUUGAUCAUGGCUCAGAUUGAACGCUGGCGGCAUGCUUUACACAUGCAAGUCGAACGGGGUGAGGGGGCAACCUCUCAUUCAGUGGCGAACGGGUGAGUAAUGCAUCGGAACGUGUCCCGCAGUGGGGGAUAACUCGGCGAAAGCCGAGCUAAUACCGCAUACGCUCUGCGGAGGAAAGCGGGGGAUUCGCGAGAACCUCGUGCUAUGGGGGCGGCCGAUGUCCGAUUAGCUAGUUGGUGGGGUAAUGGCCUACCAAGGCGACGAUCGGUAGCUGGUCUGAGAGGAUGAUCAGCCACACUGGGACUGAGACACGGCCCAGACUCCUACGGGAGGCAGCAGUGGGGAAUUUUGGACAAUGGGGGCAACCCUGAUCCAGCCAUGCCGCGUGCGGGAAGAAGGCCUUCGGGUUGUAAACCGCUUUUAUUCGGAAAGAAGGAGUUCGGGUUAAUACCCUGGAUGACAGACGGUACCGGAUGAAUAAGCACCGGCUAACUACGUGCCAGCAGCCGCGGUAAUAC
rnacentral:rRNA from 1 species